UUAAUGGAGAGUUUGAUCCUGGCUCAGGACGAACGCUGGCGGCGUGCCUAAUACAUGCAAGUCGAGCGGGGUUGUUUAGAAGCUUGCUUCUAAUUAACCUAGCGGCGGACGGGUGAGUAACACGUAGGCAACCUGCCCACAAGACAGGGAUAACUACCGGAAACGGUAGCUAAUACCCGAUACAUCCUUUUCCUGCAUGGGA
rnacentral:rRNA from 1 species